rnacentral:rRNA from 1 species
GGUUAAGUUAGAAAGGGCGCACGGUGGAUGCCUUGGCACUAGGAGCCGAAGAAGGACGGGACUAACACCGAUAUGCUUUGGGGAGCUGUACGUAAGCGUUGAUCCAGAGAUUUCCGAAUGGGGGAACCCACUAUCUUUAGUCGGAUAGUAUCCUUACGUGAAUACAUAGCGUGAGGAAGGCAGACCCAGGGAACUGAAACAUCUAAGUACCUGGAGGAAGAGAAAGAAAAAUCGAUUUCCUGAGUAGCGGCGAGCGAAACGGAAAGAGCCCAAACCAAGAAGCUUGCUUCUUGGGGUUGUAGGACACUCUAUACGGAGUUACAAAAGAAAGUUAUAAAUGAAGCGGUCUGGAAAGGCCCGCCAAAGACGGUAACAGCCCGGUAGUUGAAAUAGCUUUCCCUCCAGAGUGGAUCCUGAGUACGGCGGAACACGUGAAAUUCCGUCGGAAUCCGGGAGGACCAUCUCCCAAGGCUAAAUACUCCCUAGUGACCGAUAGUGAACCAGUACCGUGAGGGAAAGGUGAAAAGCACCCCGGAAGGGGAGUGAAACAGUUCCUGAAACCGUGUGCCUACAAGUAGUUAGAGCCCGUUAAUGGGUGAUAGCGUGCCUUUUGUAGAAUGAACCGGCGAGUUACGAUUUGUUGCAAGGUUAAGCGGAAAAAGCGGAGCCGUAGCGAAAGCGAGUCUGAAUAGGGCGCAUAAGUAACAGGUCGUAGACCCGAAACCAGGUGAUCUACCCAUGUCCAGGAUGAAGGUAAGGUAAUACUUACUGGAGGUCCGAACCCACGCACGUUGAAAAGUGCGGGGAUGAGGUGUGGGUAGCGGAGAAAUUCCAAUCGAACUUGGAGAUAGCUGGUUCUCUCCGAAAUAGCUUUAGGGCUAGCCUCGAGGUAAAGAGUCAUGGAGGUAGAGCACUGUUUGGACUAGGGGCCCUUCUCGGGUUACCGAAUUCAGAUAAACUCCGAAUGCCAUGUACUUAUACUCGGGAGUCAGACUGCGAGUGAUAAGAUCCGUAGUCGAAAGGGAAACAGCCCAGACCACCAGUUAAGGUCCCCAAAUAUAUGUUAAGUGGAAAAGGAUGUGGGGUUGCUUAGACAACCAGGAUGUUGGCUUAGAAGCAGCCACCAUUGAAAGAGUGCGUAAUAGCUCACUGGUCGAGUGACCCCGCGCCGAAAAUGUACCGGGGCUAAACAUAUUACCGAAACUGUGGAUGAACCUCUUUAGAGGUUCGUGGUAGGAGAGCGUUCUAAGGGCGGUGAAGUCAGACCGGAAGGACUGGUGGAGCGCUUAGAAGUGAGAAUGCCGGUAUGAGUAGCGAAAGAAGGGUGAGAAUCCCUUCCACCGAAUAUCUAAGGUUUCCUGAGGAAGGCUCGUCCGCUCAGGGUUAGUCGGGACCUAAGCCGAGGCCGAUAGGCGUAGGCGAUGGACAACAGGUAGAGAUUCCUGUACCAGUGCUAAUUGUUUAACCGAUGGGGUGACACAGAAGGAUAGGGAAUCGCACGAAUGGAAAUGUGCGUCCAAGCAGUGAGUGUGAGAAGUAGGCAAAUCCGCUUCUCGCGAAGCAUGAGCUGUGAUGGGGAAGGAAAUUAAGUACGGAAGUUCCUGAUUUCACGCUGUCAAGAAAAGCCUCUAGGAAGAGUAGUACUGCCCGUACCGCAAACCGACACAGGUAGAUGAGGAGAGAAUCCUAAGGUGAGCGAGAGAACUCUCGUUAAGGAACUCGGCAAAAUGACCCCGUAACUUCGGGAGAAGGGGUGCUCUAUUAGGGUGCAAGCCCGAGAGAGCCGCAGUGAAUAGGCCCAGGCGACUGUUUAGCAAAAACACAGGUCUCUGCAAAACCGUAAGGUGACGUAUAGGGGCUGACGCCUGCCCGGUGCUGGAAGGUUAAGAGGA